GGGGGCGUAAAGGUUUCGACGGGGGUGUAGAAGCAAGAUAAGCGAGCCGCAGUUGUCCAGUCUGCGUUAAAAGGGACCGUUUAAAUAUAAACGCUAAAGAAAACAACAAUUACGCAUUCGCUGCAUAGUUCAGCGGCCGCAUAGCGGCGCGUCGUCGGCCCGGGUUCACCCGUAGGCCCGGUCACCGGCGUCAAACAUACGGGAAAACUUCGUAUGAGCUCCUGGUAGUACGAGGGACCAACAGGAUAGCCAAGACUUCAGCCUGCCGAUCGGCGGUUGUCGAGGCGAAACAUUAAAUAAUCGGCUGCGCUCGGAGAAAGUUUUGUGGAAAUGCUUUCGGACGUGAGUUCGACUCUCACCGCCUUCACCA
rnacentral:tmRNA from 1 species